rnacentral:misc_RNA from 1 species
GAAAUGCGAUACUUGGUGUGAAUUGCAGAAUCCCGUGAACCAUCGAGUCUUUGAACGCACAUUGCGCCCGCCAGUAUUCUGGCGGGCAUGCCUGUUCGAGCGUCAUUUCAACCAUCAAGCCCCCGGGCUUGUGUUGGGGACCUGCGGCUGCCGCAGGCCCUGAAAAGCAGUGGCGGGCUCGCUGUCGCACCGAGCGUAGUAGCAUACAUCUCGCUCUGGUCGCGCCGCGGGUUCCGGCCGUUAAACCACCUUUUAACCCAAGGUUGACCUCGGAUCAGGUAGGAAGACCCGCUGAACUUAA